UUUACCAUAAACAUUUUUAAACAACUUUAUCAAGAUAUAAUUCACAUAACAUACAACUUUCCCAUUUAAAGUAUAUAAUUCAAUGGUUUUGGUCUAUAACAUUAUUAUUUAAAAAAAGUCUUCUCAGAUUGUUACAUUUUAAAAAGUUUUUAAAUUAUGAUUUAAUUUGCUAUUUUAAUCAUUGUUAAGUGCAUGGUUCUGUGGCAUUUGUCAUAUUCUCAAUGUCGUACUACCAUCACCACUAUUUUCAAAACAUUUCAUUACCCCAGAAAGAGUAUUUUAAGAGAAACUAUCCCUCUUGAUUCAGAAAAUGUAAGCCACAAUUUUAAAAAAUUAAAGUUCCCAAACUAGAAAGAAAUAUUUUAAUUUUUUUUCUGUGAAGGAUAGUAACUCUUAUAGGGAAAAGGAAAGAGGAGUUUGCUGUGACCACUAGGAGGUCACAGUGGAAUGUCUGCAUACUUCCACCAAUGUGACUACACGGCUGCCCUUUCCACCAAUGUCACUUACACAGCUGCUCAUCCUUUCAGAUUCAGCACAAGCAUGUUCAUUACGUUGUAUUGUGCUCAUUAAAGUAUGUGUGCCCUAGCAUUUAUAAUCAUGUGUUCAUUCACAUGAUCAUAAGUGGACACAUGACCAUAAAUGCUAAAGCACACUUACUUCUACAACAUACUGAGCUCACCUCACAGGUAUAAACAAAAACAUGCACACAAAUGUGUAUUGAGAAUAGACAACUAAACACAGAGGAAGCUUAUGUGUACUGAGAGACAAGUGAAGAAGGAAUAUGCCAACUAGAAAGAAGAAUGUUUGGAACCUAGAGGGAAAGUAAAUUUUAUGGUUUUAAAUGUAUCCACAGGUUUUUUAUAUUCCUCCCCUCAAGAAGUAGACUCCAAUUCUCUUCCUUUUAAAUAUGGGCUGGUCUUACAAACUUCUUUCUCAAGAUUAAAAUGCAGAGUAAAUAAGAUUGCUGACUUCUGAGACUAAGUUUGGAAAUGUCACUCAACUUCUGCUGAGGUUCUGGUUCAUAUUUAGAACCUGGCCUCCAUGCUGUGAGGAAAUCCAGUCUACAUGCAAAGACUAUGCAGGAAUGUUCUGGCCAAAGGCUCCCCAUAAAGUUCUAGCUGACAGCCAGUCAUGACCCAUCACCAGACAUGUGAAUGAUGAUGCUAUCAAACCAACUCCAGCCACAGGAUCUGACUAAAACCUCAUGAGAGGCACUGAGCAACAAUCACCUAGCUUAUCCUUCUCAAGUCCCAGAAUCAUGAGAGAUGACAAUAAUAAAUGAUGGUCACUUUUAUACCAUUAAAUUUGGGGUAAUUUGUUAUGCAGCAGAAGGUAACCAGGACAGUAAAUGAAGUGAUAACAUCAGGAUAGGUAAAGUGAGUUAGAUGGGGAGUCAGCAGCAAAGGUUAGGAAUAAGGGUAACUUCCCCAUAUUUUCUUUUCUUAAAAUAGAAAGAAGAAAGGAAGGUUUUUAGAUUAUUGUUUAUUUAUCUUGCUUUUUUAGUAUAAUUGAUUAUCAAAGAUUUCAAAUGAAAAUGAACUUAAAAGUCUGUAUAAAUAGUACAGAUCAUGAAGAUUUUAAGUUUCUCUAUUUCUCAUUUGUUGAUUAGGGCAUAUUUCCUAGCUUUGGAAUGAAAUUUUUGUUUGGCAUUUUAAUUAAUAAACACAUCUCAUAAACACAUAACUUGUGUCAUAACUAACUUUAAUUAUUUUGUUCAUUAAACAAUAUUUGUUAGCAUUUAUUAAGUGCUGGGUAUUCUGCUAGGGAUAUAAUAGCUAAUAAGAUAUACUCCUCACAGUCAAGGAAUUUAUAAGAAAAUCUUAUGGGAGAGACAAACAAGUAAACCAGCAAUUAUAGUAGCAAGACCUACGUAUGGAUAGAAGUACAAAAUCUAUGGCACCAUAUAGGAACAUCUCAACAGCUCUUGAGAAAAUGUUGAGGAGGUGUCAGGGAAGGAUCAUUAGAGGGACUCAUGGCUAUGCUGACACCUCAAGGGAAGAAACUGAGUUCAACCAGUGAAGCUCUAGAGGUAGUUGAGGAGGAAGACUAACAGUAUGGGCAGGAGCCAUAGACUGUGCAGAAACCUGGAAGCAAGGAUACAUGUAACAAAUUCUGGGAACUGAAAGUGUCUCAUUAUGGCUGGAGAAGAGAUCACAAGGCAGAGGCUAAAGAGAUACAAUACAAGGGGGUACCUCUGUGAGGUUAAUAAUUUUGAACUUUAUCCUGAGAGCGUUGGGAAGCCAUUGAAUGCUUUAACCAAGAGAGAGACAUGAUGAAAUUUGACUGUGAUGUAAAAAACAUAUUCGAAAGAGGCAAGACUAGAUUCUGGCAGACCAAUCAGAACACUCUUGCAGCAAUUCAGGUGACAGAAGACAAAGGUAGUAGCUUGAAGUUGUGUAGGAAGAAUCACCCUAUGAGGAGGGAACAGAGCUAUUGUUCACUCACAGCCCAGAGAGCCUCAGCUCUGCAUGAAAGCCUUUUGGACAUGGAUAAAACAAAUUGCAAGUUGGUAAUCUAAUUUCAGGAGGGACAGAUCCUGGAUGUGUAUUUCAGAGUGCUAAAGUCUAUCCAGA
rnacentral:lncRNA from 1 species